rnacentral:rRNA from 1 species
GGGGAAUCUUGCACAAUGGGGGCAACCCUGAUGCAGCGACGCCGCGUGAGCGAUGAAGCCCUUCGGGGCGUAAAGCUCUUUCGACCGGAACGAUAAUGACGGUACCGGGAGAAGAAGCUGCGGCUAACUACGUGCCAGCAGCCGCGGGAAUACGUAGGGAGCAAGCGUUGGUCGGAUUUACUGGGCGUAAAGGGCGCGUAGGCGGCGCGGUAAGUCACUUGUGAAAUCUCUGAGCUUAACUCAGAACGGCCAAGUGAUACUGCUGUGCUAGAGUGCGGAAGAGGCAACCGGAAUUCUUGGUGUAGCGGUGAAAUGCGUAGAUAUCAAGAGGAACACCUGAGGCGAAGGCGGGUUGCUGGGCCGACACUGACGCUGAUGCGCGAAAGCCAGGGGAGCAAACG